rnacentral:rRNA from 1 species
CUCCUACGGGAGGCAGCAGUAGGGAAUCUUCGGCAAUGGGGGCAACCCUGACCGAGCAACGCCGCGUGAGUGAAGAAGGUUUUCGGAUCGUAAAGCUCUGUUGUAAGAGAAGAACGGGUGUGAGAGUGGAAAGUUCACACUGUGACGGUAUCUUACCAGAAAGGGACGGCUAACUACGUGCCAGCAGCCGCGGUAAUACGUAGGUCCCGAGCGUUGUCCGGAUUUAUUGGGCGUAAAGCGAGCGCAGGCGGUUUGAUAAGUCUGAAGUUAAAGGCUGUGGCUCAACCAUAGUUCGCUUUGGAAACUGUCAAACUUGAGUGCAGAAGGGGAGAGUGGAAUUCCAUGUGUAGCGGUGAAAUGCGUAGAUAUAUGGAGGAACGCCGGUGGCGAAAGCGGCUCUCUGGUCUGUAACUGACGCUGAGGCUCGAAAGCGUGGGGAGCGAACAGGAUUAGAUACCCUGGUAGUCCACGCCGUAAACGAUGAGUGCUAGGUGUUGGGUCCUUUCCGGGAUUCAGUGCCGCAGCUAACGCAUUAAGCACUCCGCCUGGGGAGUACGACCGCAAGGUUGAAACUCAAAGGAAUUGACGGGGGCCCGCACAAGCGGUGGAGCAUGUGGUUUAAUUCGAAGCAACGCGAAGAACCUUACCAGGUCUUGACAUCCCGAUGCUAUUCCUAGAGAUAGGAAGUUUCUUCGGAACAUCGGUGACCGGUGGUGCAUGGUUGUCGUCAGCUCGUGUCGUGAGAUGUUGGGUUAAGUCCCGCAACGAGCGCAACCCCUAUUGUUAGUUGCCAUCAUUCAGUUGGGCACUCUAGCGAGACUGCCGGUAAUAAACCGGAGGAAGGUGGGGAUGACGUCAAAUCAUCAUGCCCCUUAUGACCUGGGCUACACACGUGCUACAAUGGUUGGUACAACGAGUUGCGAGUCGGUGACGGCAAGCUAAUCUCUUAAAGCCAAUCUCAGUUCGGAUUGUAGGCUGCAACUCGCCUACAUGAAGUCGGAAUCGCUAGUAAUCGCGGAUCAGCACGCCGCGGUGAAUACGUUCCCGGGUCUUGUACACACGC